rnacentral:tRNA from 1 species
UCGGGGGUGGUGCAACGGUAGCACGCCGGACUCUGACUCCUGAGAUCAAGGUUCGAAUCCUUGCCCCCGAGCCA